rnacentral:rRNA from 2 species
GGUUAAGCGACUAAGCGUACACGGUGGAUGCCCUGGCAGUCAGAGGCGAUGAAGGACGUGCUAAUCUGCGAAAAGCGUCGGUAAGGUGAUAUGAACCGUUAUAACCGGCGAUGUCCGAAUGGGGAAACCCAGUGCAAUUCGUUGCACUAUCGUUAACUGAAUACAUAGGUUAACGAGGCGAACCGGGGGAACUGAAACAUCUAAGUACCCCGAGGAAAAGAAAUCAACCGAGAUUCCCCCAGUAGCGGCGAGCGAACGGGGAGCAGCCCAGAGUCUGAAUCAGCUUGUGUGUUAGUGGAACGGUCUGGAAAGUCCGACGGUACAGGGUGAUAGUCCCGUACACCAAAAUGCACAGGUUGUGAACUCGAAGAGUAGGGCGGGACACGUGGUAUCCUGUCUGAAUAUGGGGGGACCAUCCUCCAAGGCUAAAUACUCCUGACUGACCGAUAGUGAACCAGUACCGUGAGGGAAAGGCGAAAAGAACCCCGGCGAGGGGAGUGAAAAAGAACCUGAAACCGUGUACGUACAAGCAGUGGGAGCACCUUCGGGUGUGACUGCGUACCUUUUGUAUAAUGGGUCAGCGACUUAUAUUCUGUAGCAAGGUUAACCGUAUAGGGGAGCCGCAGGGAAACCGAGUCUUAACUGGGCGUUAAGUUGCAGGGUAUAGACCCGAAACCCGGUGAUCUAGCCAUGGGCAGGUUGAAGGUUGGGUAACACUAACUGGAGGACCGAACCGACUAAUGUUGAAAAAUUAGCGGAUGACUUGUGGCUGGGGGUGAAAGGCCAAUCAAACCGGGAGAUAGCUGGUUCUCCCCGAAAGCUAUUUAGGUAGCGCCUCGUGAACUCAUCUUCGGGGGUAGAGCACUGUUUCGGCUAGGGGGUCAUCCCGACUUACCAACCCGAUGCAAACUACGAAUACCGAAGAAUGUUAUCACGGGAGACACACGGCGGGUGCUAACGUCCGUCGUGAAGAGGGAAACAACCCAGACCGCCAGCUAAGGUCCCAAAGUCAUGGUUAAGUGGGAAACGAUGUGGGAAGGCACAGACAGCCAGGAUGUUGGCUUAGAAGCAGCCAUCAUUUAAAGAAAGCGUAAUAGCUCACUGGUCGAGUCGGCCUGCGCGGAAGAUGUAACGGGGCUAAACCAUGCACCGAAGCUGCGGCAGCGACACUAUGUGUUGUUGGGUAGGGGAGCGUUCUGUAAGCCUGCGAAGGUGACCUGUGAGGGUUGCUGGAGGUAUCAGAAGUGCGAAUGCUGACAUAAGUAACGAUAAAGCGGGUGAAAAGCCCGCUCGCCGGAAGACCAAGGGUUCCUGUCCAACGUUAAUCGGGGCAGGGUGAGUCGACCCCUAAGGCGAGGCCGAAAGGCGUAGUCGAUGGGAAACAGGUUAAUAUUCCUGUACUUGGUGUUACUGCGAAGGGGGGACGGAGAAGGCUAUGUUAGCCGGGCGACGGUUGUCCCGGUUUAAGCAUGUAGGCUGGUUGUCCAGGCAAAUCCGGAUAAUCAAGGCUGAGGUGUGAUGACGAGGCACUACGGUGCUGAAGUAACAAAUGCCCUGCUUCCAGGAAAAGCCUCUAAGCAUCAGGUAACAUCAAAUCGUACCCCAAACCGACACAGGUGGUCAGGUAGAGAAUACCAAGGCGCUUGAGAGAACUCGGGUGAAGGAACUAGGCAAAAUGGUGCCGUAACUUCGGGAGAAGGCACGCUGGUGUGUAGGUGAAGUCCCUGCGGAUGGAGCUGAGACCAGUCGAAGAUACCAGCUGGCUGCAACUGUUUAUUAAAAACACAGCACUGUGCAAACACGAAAGUGGACGUAUACGGUGUGACGCCUGCCCGGUGCCGGAAGGUUAAUUGAUGGGGUUAUCCGUAAGGAGAAGCUCUUGAUCGAAGCCCCGGUAAACGGCGGCCGUAACUAUAACGGUCCUAAGGUAGCGAAAUUCCUUGUCGGGUAAGUUCCGACCUGCACGAAUGGCGUAAUGAUGGCCAGGCUGUCUCCACCCGAGACUCAGUGAAAUUGAACUCGCUGUGAAGAUGCAGUGUACCCGCGGCAAGACGGAAAGACCCCGUGAACCUUUACUAUAGCUUGACACUGAACAUUGAGCCUUGAUGUGUAGGAUAGGUGGGAGGCUUUGAAGCGUGGACGCCAGUCUGCGUGGAGCCAACCUUGAAAUACCACCCUUUAAUGUUUGAUGUUCUAACGUUGGCCCCUUACCGGGGUUGCGGACAGUGUCUGGUGGGUAGUUUGACUGGGGCGGUCUCCUCCCAAAGCGUAACGGAGGAGCACGAAGGUUAGCUAAUCCUGGUCGGACAUCAGGAGGUUAGUGCAAUGGCAUAAGCUAGCUUGACUGCGAGCGUGACGGCGCGAGCAGGUGCGAAAGCAGGUCAUAGUGAUCCGGUGGUUCUGAAUGGAAGGGCCAUCGCUCAACGGAUAAAAGGUACUCCGGGGAUAACAGGCUGAUACCGCCCAAGAGUUCAUAUCGACGGCGGUGUUUGGCACCUCGAUGUCGGCUCAUCACAUCCUGGGGCUGAAGUAGGUCCCAAGGGUAUGGCUGUUCGCCAUUUAAAGUGGUACGCGAGCUGGGUUUAGAACGUCGUGAGACAGUUCGGUCCCUAUCUGCCGUGGGCGCUGGAGAAUUGAGGGGGGCUGCUCCUAGUACGAGAGGACCGGAGUGGACGCAUCACUGGUGUUCGGGUUGUCAUGCCAAUGGCACUGCCCGGUAGCUAAAUGCGGAAGAGAUAAGUGCUGAAAGCAUCUAAGCACGAAACUUGCCCCGAGAUGAGUUCUCCCUGAGACUUUAAGUCUCCUGAAGGAACGUUGAAGACGACGACGUUGAUAGGCCGGGUGUGUAAGCGCAGCGAUGCGUUGAGCUAACCGGUACUAAUGAACCGUGAGGCUUAACCUU